GACAGAGGCCUCAAGCGUUUAGGCGGAAUCACUGGGCUUAAAGCGUGUGUAGGCGGACGCCUAAGUGUCUUGUGAAAUCCCCCGGCUCACCCGGGGAACUGCUGGGCAUACUGGGCGUCUUGGGCCAACUAGGGGCAACUGGAACAAGCGGUGGAGCGGUGAAAUGCGUAGAUAUCGCUUGGAACGCCGAAGGUGAAAACAGGUUGCUGGGGUUGUGCCGACGCUGAGACACGAAAGCCAGGGGAGCAAACGGG
rnacentral:rRNA from 1 species